CCAAGGAGUCUAACAUGUGCGCGAGUCGCAGGGUGCUCGCAAAAUAAAUGAAGGACGAACCCCGAAGGCGCAAUGAAAGUGAAGGUCGGUGGUCUGACCGACAGAGGCGGGAUCCGUCCGGGCAUCGAUCGCUGUUUGCUUAACGGCUUGAGCGRUGAGCCCGGCGGCGCACCGCCGGCCCGUCUCGACCGCUUCUCGUCGGCGAGGCGGAGCAAGAGCGCACACGUUGGGACCCGAAAGAUGGUGAACUAUGCUCGGGCAGGACGAAGCCAGAGGAAACUCUGGUGGAGGUCCGUAGCGAUUCUGACGUGCAAAUCGAUCGUCGGACCCGAGUAUAGGGGCGAAAGACUAAUCGAACCGUCUA
rnacentral:rRNA from 1 species